rnacentral:rRNA from 1 species
UACAGAGGGUGCAAGCGUUAAUCGGAAUUACUGGGCGUAAAGGGUGCGUAGGUGGAUAUAUAAGUCAGAUGUGAAAUCCCUGGGCUUAACUUAGGAACUGCAUUUGAUACUGUGUAUCUAGAGUAUGGUAGAGGUGAGUGGAAUUUCCGGUGUAGCGGUGAAAUGCGUAGAUAUCGGAAGGAACACCAGUGGCGAAGGCGACUUACUGGACUGAUACUGACACUGAGGCACGAAAGCGUGGGGAGCGAACAGG